AUUGAACGCUGGCGGCAGGCCUAACACAUGCAAGUCGAGCGGAUGAAGGGAGCUUGCUCCUGGAUUCAGCGGCGGACGGGUGAGUAAUGCCUAGGAAUCUGCCUGGCAGUGGGGGAUAACGUCCGGAAACGGGCGCUAAUACCGCAUACGUCCUGAGGGAGAAAGUGGGGGAUCUUCGGACCUCACGCUAUCAGAUGAGCCUAGGUCGGAUUAGCUAGUUGGUGGGGUAAAGGCCUACCAAGGCGACGAUCCGUAACUGGUCUGAGAGGAUGAUCAGUCACACUGGAAGUGAGACACGGUCCAGACUCCUACGGGAGGCAGCAGUGGGGAAUAUUGGACAAUGGGCGAAAGCCUGAUCCAGCCGUGCCGCGUGUUUGAAGAAGGUCUUCGGAUUGUAAAGCACUUUUAGUUGGGAGGAAGGGCAGUAAGUUAAUACCUUGCUGUUUUGACGGUACCAACAGAAUAAGCACCGGCUAACUUCGUG
rnacentral:rRNA from 1 species